AGAGUUUGAUCAUGGCUCAGAGCGAACGCUGGCGGCGUACCUAACACAUGCAAGUCGAACGGGGAUCACAGGGUUAGCAAUAACUCCGUGGUUCUAGUGGCGCACGGGUGAGUAACACGUGGGUAACCUGCCCUUGAGACUGGGAUACCCCCUCGAAAGGGGGGCUAAUACCGGAUACGUUCCUCGGAUCGAAAGGUCUGAGGAGGAAAGGUGGCGAAAGCUGCCGCUCUUGGAGGGGCUCGCGGCCUAUCAGCUAGUUGGCGGGGUAACGGCCCACCAAGGCUAUGACGGGUAGCUGGUCUGAGAGGACGACCAGCCACACGGGGACUGAGACACGGCCCCGACUCCUACGGGAGGCAGCAGUGGGGAAUUUUCCGCAAUGGGCGAAAGCCUGACGGAGUGACGCCGCGUGUGGGACGAAGGCCUUCGGGUCGUAAACCACUGUCAGUGGGAAAGAUGGGUGUCGGCGCGAUAACCGCCGGCAUUUGACGGUACCUGCAGAGGAAGCCCCGGCUAACUCUGUGCCAGCAGCCGCGGUAAGACAGAGGGGGCAAGCGUUGCUCGGAAUUACUGGGCGUAAAGGGCGCGUAGGCGGGAUGGCAAGUCGGUCGUGAAAUCCCUCGGCUCAACUGAGGAUCGUCGAUCGAUACUGCCGUUCUUGAGGAUUGCAGAGGAGACUGGAAUUCCCGGUGUAGCGGUGAAAUGUGUAGAGAUCGGGAGGAACACCGGUGGCGAAAGCGGGUCUCUGGGCAAUUCCUGACGCUGAGGCGCGAAAGCGUGGGGAGCAGACGGGAUUAGAUACCCCGGGUAGUCCACGCUGUAAACGAUGACGACUAGUGUGGGGGGGGGUUCAGUCCCUUCCGUGCCGCAGCUAACGCAUUAAGUCGUCCGCCUGGGGAGUACGGCGCAAGUUGAAACUCAAAUGAAUUGACGG
rnacentral:rRNA from 1 species